GAACAAACGCUGGCGGCGUGUCUUAAGCAUGCAAGUUGAGCGGCAAGGAGGAGAGAUCCUCCCUAGAGCAGCGGACUGGUGAGUAACGCGUGGGUAAUCUAUCUUAGGCAUGGGGAUAGUCACUAGAAAUAGUGGGUAAUACCGAAUAAGUUCCAUAAGGGGAGGACUUAUGGAAGAAAGGUGCUACGGCACUGGCCUUAGGUGAGCUCGCGUCCCAUUAGCUAGUUGGUGAGGUAAAGGCCCACCAAGGCGAUGAUGGGUAGCCGGCCUGAGAGGGUGUACGGCCACACUGGGACUGAGAUACGGCCCAGACUCCUACGGGAGGCAGCAGCUAAGAAUAUUCCGCAAUGGACGGAAGUCUGACGGAGCGACGCCGCGUGGAUGAAGAAGGCCGAAAGGUUGUAAAGUUCUUUUGCUAGGGGAGAAUAAGUGUGGGAGGGAAUGCCUGCACGAUGACAAGGACUAGCGAAUAAGUCCCGGCCAACUACGUGCCAGCAGCCGCGGUAACACGUAGGGGGCGAGCGUUGUUCGGAAUUACUGGGCGUAAAGGGCAUGUAGGCGGCUUGGUAAGCCUGGCGUGAAAGUCUGCAGCUUAACUGUAGGGAUGCGUUGGGAACUGCUUAGCCUGAGUUACGGAGAGGGAGCUGGAAUUCCUGGUGUAGGGGUGAAAUCUGUAGAUAUCAGGAAGAACACCGAUGGCGAAGGCAAGCUUCUGGCCGACAACUGACGCUGAGGUGCGAAAGUGUGGGGAUCAAACAGGAUUAGAUACCCUGGUAGUCCACACAGUAAACGAUGUGCACGAGGUGCUGGGGCGGUAGUUUCAGUGCCGGAGCGAACGCGGUAAGUGCACCGCCUGGGGAGUAUGCUCGCAAGGGUGAAACUCAAAGGAAUUGACGGGGGCCCGCACAAGCGGUGGAGCAUGUGGUUUAAUUCGAUGGUACACGAGGAACCUUACCUGGGUUUGACAUACGGAGGGAAGUGGCAGAGAUGUCACUGCGUAGAGAUACGGCUCCGUACAGGUGCUGCAUGGCUGUCGUCAGCUCGUGCCGUGAGGUGUUGGGUUAAGUCCCGCAACGAGCGCAACCCCUACUGUCAGUUACUAACAGGUUAAGCUGAGGACUCUGGCGGAACUGCCGGUGACAAACCGGAGGAAGGUGGGGNNNACGUCAAGUCAUCAUGGCCCUUAUGUCCAGGGCGACACACGUGUUACAAUGGGCGGUACAGAGGGAAGCUACCCGGUGACGGGAUGCUAAUCUUUAAAACCGUUCUCAGUUCGGAUCGGAGUCUGUAACUCGACUCUGUGAAGCUGGAUUCGCUAGUAAUCGCGCAUCAGCCAUGGCGCGGUGAAUACGUUCCCGGGCCU
rnacentral:rRNA from 1 species